AACGAACGCUGGCGGCAUGCCUAACACAUGCAAGUCGAACGAUACCUUCGGGUCUAGUGGCGCACGGGUGCGUAACGCGUGGGAACCUGCCCUUAGGUUCGGAAUAACUCCCCGAAAGGGGUGCUAAUACAGGAUAAUGUCUUCGGACCAAAGAUUUAUCGCCUUUGGAUGGGCCCGCGUUGGAUUAGCUUGUUGGUAGGGUAAAAGCCUACCAAGGCGACGAUCCAUAGCUGGUCUGAGAGGAUGAUCAGCCACACUGGGACUGAGACACGGCCCAGACUCCUACGGGAGGCAGCAGUGGGGAAUAUUGGACAAUGGGCGAAAGCCUGAUCCAGCAAUGCCGCGUGAGUGAUGAAGGCCUUAGGGUUGUAAAGCUCUUUUACCCGGGAUGAUAAUGACAGUACCGGGAGAAUAAGCUCCGGCUAACUCCGUG
rnacentral:rRNA from 1 species